UACGGAGGGUGCAAGCGUUAAUCGGAAUUACUGGGCGUAAAGCGUGCGCAGGCGGUUUGUUAAGUCCGUUGUGAAAGCCCCGAGCUCAACUUGGGAAUUGCAGUGGAUACUGGCAGGCUGGAGUACGGUAGAGGAAGGUGGAAUUCCCGGUGUAGCAGUGAAAUGCGUAGAGAUCGGGAGGAACACCAGUGGCGAAGGCGGCCUUCUGGACCAGUACUGACGCUCAAGCACGAAAGCGUGGGGAGCAAACAGG
rnacentral:rRNA from 1 species